AGAAACUUAGGUUAACAUUAAACCAAGAGCCUUCAAAGCCCUAAACAGAGGAUUAAACCUUCUAGUCUCUG
rnacentral:tRNA from 1 species